AACGAACGCUGGCGGCAUGCCUAACACAUGCAAGUCGAACGAGACCUUCGGGUCUAGUGGCGCACGGGUGCGUAACGCGUGGGAACCUGCCUUUAGGUUCGGAAUAACUCAGAGAAAUUUGAGCUAAUACCGGAUAAUGUCUUCGGACCAAAGAUUUAUCGCCUUUAGAUGGGCCCGCGUAAGAUUAGCUAGUUGGUGGGGUAAAGGCCUACCAAGGCGACGAUCUUUAGCUGGUCUGAGAGGAUGAUCAGCCACACUGGGACUGAGACACGGCCCAGACUCCUACGGGAGGCAGCAGUGGGGAAUAUUGGACAAUGGGCGAAAGCCUGAUCCAGCAAUGCCGCGUGAGUGAUGAAGGCCUUAGGGGUUGUAAAAGGCUCUUUUUACCCGAGAUGAUAAUGACAGUAUCGGGAGAAUAAGCUCCGGCUAACUCCGUGCCAGCAGCCGCGGUAAU
rnacentral:rRNA from 1 species